GUCAUUUAAGGGCUAGCCUCCAAAAGGAGAAUGUCAGCUGGAUGAAGGCUGCUCCCUGAGAAGGAUUGUUCUGUAAUCAGAGACCCUCUUGCUGGUUGGAGCCUCAUUACCAGCGAGCCGACAUUCGAUGAGGCCAAGUUGACCUCUCCAUCUCCUACACUUCCCACAGAGAGGGUGCAAGUAGUAAAGACAAAGCCCUGCACACCAUUCCAAGUGCUUCUCCUGUCACAUAGCUGGAAGCACCAUCUGAGCAGGUGCAGAGCUCUGCCCGAGUCCACCACUGACCUAAGAAGCAUCCUCUGCGUUAAACAGUCUUUGGGGCCAGUGUAAAAGGCAAGAGGAAGUGUGCUGUGCUAACCCCAAGGUACCAUUGCCCACUUGCCAGUCUUCAGGAUUGCUCUGACACAGAAGCUGUUUCUCCGAAGCCAUUUUGAC
ensembl:lncRNA